rnacentral:rRNA from 1 species
CCUACGGGUGACAGCAGUGAGGAAUAUUGGUCAAUGGACGAGAGUCUGAACCAGCCAAGUAGCGUGAAGGAUGACUGCCCUAUGGGUUGUAAACUUCUUUUAUAUGGGAAUAAAAUGUUCCACGUGUGGGAUUUUGUAUGUACCAUAUGAAUAAGGAUCGGCUAACUCCGUGCCAGCAGCCGCGGUAAUACGGAGGAUCCGAGCGUUAUCCGGAUUUAUUGGGUUUAAAGGGAGCGUAGGUGGAUUGUUAAGUCAGUUGUGAAAGUUUGCGGCUCAACCGUAAAAUUGCAGUUGAAACUGGCAGUCUUGAGUACAGUAGAGGUGGGCGGAAUGCGUGGUGUAGCGGUGAAAUGCUUAGAUAUCACGAAGAACUCCGAUUGCGAAGGCAGUUCACUGGACUGCAACUGACACUGAGGCUCGAAAGUGUGGGUAUCAAACAGGAUUAGAUACCCCUGUAGUC